rnacentral:rRNA from 1 species
GAUGAACUGUGGGUAGCGGAGAAAUUCCAAUCGAACCCGGAGAUAGCUGGUUCUCCCCGAAAUAGUUUUAGGACUAGCCUCAACUUAGAUAUCUGGAGGUAAAGCACUGAAUAGCCUAGCGGCCGAGAGGUUAGCGAAGCUUAUCAAACUCAGAAUGCCAGAAUAUUGAUGGUUGGGAGUCAGACAGUGUCAGAUAAAUGUCAUUGUCAAAAGGGAAACAGCCCAGAUCUACAGCUAAGGUCCCAAAGUCAGGUUAAGUGGAAAACGAUGUGGAGAUACGCAGACAACCAGGAUGUUGGCUCAGAAGCAGCCACUCAUUCAAAGAGUGCGUAAUAGCUCACUGGUCGAGCGUCUCUGCGCGGAGAAUUUAACGGGGCUAAACCUGACACCGAAGCUUAGGCAAUGUAGUAAUACAUUGGGUAGGGGAGCGUUGUAUACGCGGUGAAACAGUAGCGCAAGCGGCUGUGGAGUGUAUAGAAGUGAGAAUGCCGGAAUGAGUAGCGCGAAUGCAGUGAGAAUCUGCAUGGCCGAAAGCCUCAGGUUUCUGGAGGAAGGUUCGUCCGCUCCAGGUUAGUCGGGAGCUAAGGUGAGGCCUAACGGCGUAGCCGAUGCACAGACGGUAGAGAUUCCGUCACCACCAAAAGAGUUAAGCACAGGGACACAUUUGAAGUCUCGGAGCCGGGUGUUGGUUCCGGUAGCGAUCGAGGGAAGUUAGUACCGAAGUCCGGGAUGGAAGAUGGCGAGAAAAGCUGUGUGUAUUUCUGCGGUGCCCGUACCGCAAACCGACACAGGUAGGUAGGAAGAAGAUUCUAAGGCCAACGGGAGAAGGGUUGUUAAGGAACUCGGCAAAUUGACCCCGUAACUUCGGGAGAAGGGGUGCUCCAGCGAUGGAGCCGCAGAGAAUCGGCCCAAGCAACUGUUUACCAAAAACACAGGUUUGUGCUAAAUCGAAAGAUGACGUAUACGAGCUGACGCCUGCCCGGUGCUGGAAGGUUAAGAGGAGAUGUGCAAGCAUUGAAUCGAAGCCCCAGUGAACGGCGGCCGUAACUAUAACGGUCCUAAGGUAGCGAAAUUCCUUGUCAGGUAAGUUCUGACCCGCAUGAAAGGCGUAAUGAUUUGGGCACUGUCUCAACAGCCCGCCCGGCGAAAUUGUAGUACCGGUGAAGAUGCCGGUUACCCGCGACAAGACGGAAAGACCCCAUGGAGCUUUACUGUAGCCUAAUAUUGGGUUUCGAUGUUGCAUGCACAGGAUAGAUGGGACACUGGGAAGUGAUCGCUUUGGCGGUCAUGGAGUGGCCGUUGGGAUACCAUCCUUGCGAUAUUGGAAUUCUAACCUGCGCCUUUGAAUCAAGGCGGGGGACAUUGUUAGGUGGGCAGUUUGACUGGGGCGGUCGCCUCCUAAAGAGUAACGGAGGCGUUCAAAGGUUCGCUCAGCUUGAACGGAAAUCAAGCAAAAGAGUGCAAACGCAGAAGCGAGCCUAACUGCGAGACUGACGGGUCGAGCAGUAACGAAAGUUGGAGUUAGUGAUCCGGUGGUAUGUGAGUGGAAAUGCCAUCGCUCAACGGAUAAAAGUUACCCUGGGGAUAACAGGCUGAUCUCCCCCAAGAGUCCACAUCGACGGGGAGGUUUGGCACCUCGAUGUCGGCUCAUCGCAUCCUGGGGCUGUAUUCGGUCCCAAGGGUUUGGCUGUUCGCCAAUUAAAGCGGUACGCGAGCUGGGUUCAGAACGUCGUGAGACAGUUCGGUCCCUAUCUGUCGUGGGCGCAGGAUAUUUGAUGGGAGCUGUUCCUAGUACGAGAGGACCGGAGCGGACGUACCUCUGGCGCACCAGUUGUUCUGCCAAGAGCAUAGCUGGGCAACUAUGUACGGAUCGGAUAAACGCUGAAAGCAUCUAAGCGUGAAGCCGACCCAAAGAUAAGAUAUCCCACUGAUUUGAUCAGGUAAGAUCCCUUGAAGACUACAAGGUUGAUAGGCACAAUGUGUAAGUGGAGUGAUCCAUUCAGCAAGCGUGUACUAAUAGAUCGAGGGCUUGACCAC